GAGGGCGGAGACUGCGCCGACAUGGAGCUGUUCCUCGCGGGCCGCCGGGUGCUGGUCACCGGGGCAGGCAAAGUAUAGGGCGCGGCACGGUCCAGGCGCUGCACGCGACGGGCGCGCGGGUGGUGGCUGUGAGCCGGACUCAGGCGGAUCUUGACAGCCUUGUCCGCGAUGCCCGGGGAUAGAACCCGUGUGCGUGGACCUGGGUGACUGGGAGGCCACCGAGCGGGCGCUGGGCAGCGUGGGCCCCGUGGACCUGCUGGUGAACAACGCCGCUGUCGCCCUGCUGCAGCCCUUCCUGGAGGUCACCAAGGAGGCCUUUGACAAUCCUUUGAGGUGAACCUGCGUGCGGUCAUCCAGGUGUCGCAAUUGUGGCCAGGGGCUUAAUAGCCCGGGGAGUCCCAGGGGCCAUCGUGAAUGUCUCCAGCCAGUGCUCCCAGCGGGCAGUAACUAACCAUAGCGUCUACGCUCCACCAAGGGUGCCCUGGACAUGCUGACCAAGGUGAUGGCCCUAGAGCUCGGGCCCCACAAAUCCGAGUGAAUGCAGUAAACCCCACAGUGGUGAUGACGUCCAUGGGCCAGGCCACCUGGAGUGACCCCCACAAGGCCAAGACUAUGCUGAACCGAAUCCCACUUGGCAAGUUUGCUAGGUAGAGCACGUGGUGAACGCCAUCCUCUUUCUGCUGAGUGACCGAAGUGGCAUGACCACGGGUUCCACUUUGCCGGUGGAAGGGGGCUUCUGGGCCUGCUGAGCUCCCUCCACACACCUCAAGCCCCAUGCCGUGCUCAUCCUACCCCCAAUCCCUCCAAUAAACCUGAUUCUGCUGCCCAGACUAUGUGCUAUUCCUAGGCUGCCAGCAGGUAGCUG
rnacentral:lncRNA from 1 species